CCCUUAGAUGUUCUGGGCCGCACGCGCGCUACACUGAUGCGUUCAACGAGUAUACAACCUUGAUCGAUAGGUCUGGGUAAUCUUGUGAAUGCGCAUCGUGCUAGGGAUAGAUUGUUGCAAUUUUCAAUCUUGAACGAGGAAUUCCUAGUAAACGCAAGUCAUCAGCUUGCAUUGAUUACGUCCCUGCCCUUUGUACACACCGCCCGUCGCACCUACCGAUUGAAUGGCUUAGUGAGGUCUUCGGACUGGACUUCGGGGAGCCGGCAACGGCACCCUGUCGCUGGGAAGUUGAUCAAACUUGGUCAUUUAGAGGAAGUAAAAGUCGUAACA
rnacentral:rRNA from 1 species